rnacentral:rRNA from 1 species
CAGAGAUUUCCGAAUGGGGAAACCCAGCAUGAGUUAUGUCAUGUUAUCGAUAUGUGAAUACAUAGCAUAUCAGAAGGCACACCCGGAGAACUGAAACAUCUUAGUACCCGGAGGAAGAGAAAGAAAAUUCGAUUCCCUUAGUAGCGGCGAGCGAAACGGGAAGAGCCCAAACCAACAAGCUUGCUUGUUGGGGUUGUAGGACACUCUAUACGGAGUUACAAAGGACGACAUUAGACGAAUCAUCUGGAAAGAUGAAUCAAAGAAGGUAAUAAUCCUGUAGUCGAAAAUGUUGUCUCUCUUGAGUGGAUCCUGAGUACGACGGAGCACGUGAAAUUCCGUCGGAAUCUGGGAGGACCAUCUCCUAAGGCUAAAUACUCUCUAGUGACCGAUAGUGAACCAGUACCGUGAGGGAAAGGUGAAAAGCACCCCGGAAGGGGAGUGAAAUAGAACCUGAAACCGUGUGCUUACAAGUAGUCAGAGCCCGUUAAUGGGUGAUGGCGUGCCUUUUGUAGAAUGAACCGGCGAGUUACGAUUUGAUGCAAGGUUAAGCAGUAAAUGUGGAGCCGUAGCGAAAGCGAGUCUGAAUAGGGCGUUUAGUAUUUGGUCGUAGACCCGAAACCAGGUGAUCUACCCUUGGUCAGGUUGAAGUUCAGGUAACACUGAAUGGAGGACCGAACCGACUUACGUUGAAAAGUGAGCGGAUGAACUGAGGGUAGCGGAGAAAUUCCAAUCGAACCUGGAGAUAGCUGGUUCUCUCCGAAAUAGCUUUAGGGCUAGCCUCAAGUGAUGAUUAUUGGAGGUAGAGCACUG